ACGGAAGGCAGCAGUGGGGAAUAUUGCACAAUGGGGGAAACCCUGAUGCAGCGACGCCGCGUGAGUGAAGAAGUAUUUCGGUAUGUAAAGCUCUAUCAGCAGGGAAGAGAAUGACGGUACCUGACUAAGAAGCACCGGCUAAAUACGUGCCAGCAGCCGCGGUAAUACGUAUGGAGCAAGCGUUAUCCGGAUUUACUGGGUGUAAAGGGUGCGUAGGCGGCAUGGCAAGUCAGAUGUGAAAGACCGGGGCUCAACUCCGGGGCUGCAUUUGAAACUGCCAGGCUGGAGUACAGGAGAGGCGGGCGGAAUUCCUAGUGUAGCGGUGAAAUGCGUAGAUAUUAGGAGGAACACCAGUGGCGAAGGCGGCUUUCUGGACUGUAACUGACACUGAGGCACGAAAGCGUGGGGAGCAAACAGGAUUAGAUACCCUGGUA
rnacentral:rRNA from 1 species